UACAGAGGUCUCGAGCGUUAGGCGGAAUCACUGGGCUUAAAGCGUGUGUAGGUGGAUCGGUAAGUACCUUGUGAAAUCCCACAGCUUAACUGUGGAACUGCUUGGUAUACUGCCAGUCUUGAGCCAGCUAGGGGCUACCGGAACAAAUGGUGGAGCGGUGAAAUGCGUAGAUAUCAUUUGGAACGCCAAUGGUGAAAACAGGUAGCUGGGGCUGUGCUGACACUGAGACACGAAAGCCAGGGGAGCAAACGGG
rnacentral:rRNA from 1 species